rnacentral:ribozyme from 1 species
UGCCCAGCAACUUCUAUCCCUACCCCCUCGUGGUGCCGGUCGGAAACUAUGACUUAGCUUAGGGAUGA